rnacentral:rRNA from 2 species
UAAGCGUACACGGUGGAUGCCCUGGCAGUCAGAGGCGAUGAAGGACGUGCUAAUCUGCGAUAAGCGUCGGUAAGGUGAUAUGAACCGUUAUAACCGGCGAUUUCCGAAUGGGGAAACCCAGUGUGAUUCGUCACACUAUCAUUAACUGAAUCCAUAGGUUAAUGAGGCGAACCGGGGGAACUGAAACAUCUAAGUACCCCGAGGAAAAGAAAUCAACCGAGAUUCCCCCAGUAGCGGCGAGCGAACGGGGAGCAGCCCAGAGCCUGAAUCAGUGUGUGUGUUAGUGGAAGCGUCUGGAAAGGCGUGCGAUACAGGGUGACAGCCCCGUACACAAAAAUGCACAUACUGUGAGCUCGAUGAGUAGGGCGGGACACGUGGUAUCCUGUCUGAAUAUGGGGGGACCAUCCUCCAAGGCUAAAUACUCCUGACUGACCGAUAGUGAACCAGUACCGUGAGGGAAAGGCGAAAAGAACCCCGGCGAGGGGAGUGAAAAAGAACCUGAAACCGUGUACGUACAAGCAGUGGGAGCACGCUUAGGCGUGUGACUGCGUACCUUUUGUAUAAUGGGUCAGCGACUUAUAUUCUGUAGCAAGGUUAACCGAAUAGGGGAGCCGAAGGGAAACCGAGUCUUAACUGGGCGUUAAGUUGCAGGGUAUAGACCCGAAACCCGGUGAUCUAGCCAUGGGCAGGUUGAAGGUUGGGUAACACUAACUGGAGGACCGAACCGACUAAUGUUGAAAAAUUAGCGGAUGACUUGUGGCUGGGGGUGAAAGGCCAAUCAAACCGGGAGAUAGCUGGUUCUCCCCGAAAGCUAUUUAGGUAGCGCCUCGUGAAUUCAUCUCCGGGGGUAGAGCACUGUUUCGGCAAGGGGGUCAUCCCGACUUACCAACCCGAUGCAAACUGCGAAUACCGGAGAAUGUUAUUACGGGAGACACACGGCGGGUGCUAACGUCCGUCGUGAAGAGGGAAACAACCCAGACCGCCAGCUAAGGUCCCAAAGUCAUGGUUAAGUGGGAAACGAUGUGGGAAGGCCCAGACAGCCAGGAUGUUGGCUUAGAAGCAGCCAUCAUUUAAAGAAAGCGUAAUAGCUCACUGGUCGAGUCGGCCUGCGCGGAAGAUGUAACGGGGCUAAACCAUGCACCGAAGCUGCGGCAGCGACGCUUAUGCGUUGUUGGGUAGGGGAGCGUUCUGUAAGCCUGUGAAGGUGUGCUGUGAGGUAUGCUGGAGGUAUCAGAAGUGCGAAUGCUGACAUAAGUAACGAUAAAGCGGGUGAAAAGCCCGCUCGCCGGAAGACCAAGGGUUCCUGUCCAACGUUAAUCGGGGCAGGGUGAGUCGACCCCUAAGGCGAGGCCGAAAGGCGUAGUCGAUGGGAAACAGGUUAAUAUUCCUGUACUUGGUGUUACUGCGAAGGGGGGACGGAGAAGGCUAUGUUGGCCGGGCGACGGUUGUCCCGGUUUAAGCGUGUAGGCUGGUUUUCCAGGCAAAUCCGGAAAAUCAAGGCCGAGGCGUGAUGACGAGGCACUACGGUGCUGAAGCAACAAAUGCCCUGCUUCCAGGAAAAGCCUCUAAGCAUCAGGUAACAUCAAAUCGUACCCCAAACCGACACAGGUGGUCAGGUAGAGAAUACCAAGGCGCUUGAGAGAACUCGGGUGAAGGAACUAGGCAAAAUGGUGCCGUAACUUCGGGAGAAGGCACGCUGAUACGUAGGUGAAGCGACUUGCUCGUGGAGCUGAAAUCAGUCGAAGAUACCAGCUGGCUGCAACUGUUUAUUAAAAACACAGCACUGUGCAAACACGAAAGUGGACGUAUACGGUGUGACGCCUGCCCGGUGCCGGAAGGUUAAUUGAUGGGGUUAGCGCAAGCGAAGCUCUUGAUCGAAGCCCCGGUAAACGGCGGCCGUAACUAUAACGGUCCUAAGGUAGCGAAAUUCCUUGUCGGGUAAGUUCCGACCUGCACGAAUGGCGUAAUGAUGGCCAGGCUGUCUCCACCCGAGACUCAGUGAAAUUGAACUCGCUGUGAAGAUGCAGUGUACCCGCGGCAAGACGGAAAGACCCCGUGAACCUUUACUAUAGCUUGACACUGAACAUUGAGCCUUGAUGUGUAGGAUAGGUGGGAGGCUUUGAAGUGUGGACGCCAGUCUGCAUGGAGCCGACCUUGAAAUACCACCCUUUAAUGUUUGAUGUUCUAACGUGGACCCGUGAUCCGGGUUGCGGACAGUGUCUGGUGGGUAGUUUGACUGGGGCGGUCUCCUCCUAAAGAGUAACGGAGGAGCACGAAGGUUGGCUAAUCCUGGUCGGACAUCAGGAGGUUAGUGCAAUGGCAUAAGCCAGCUUGACUGCGAGCGUGACGGCGCGAGCAGGUGCGAAAGCAGGUCAUAGUGAUCCGGUGGUUCUGAAUGGAAGGGCCAUCGCUCAACGGAUAAAAGGUACUCCGGGGAUAACAGGCUGAUACCGCCCAAGAGUUCAUAUCGACGGCGGUGUUUGGCACCUCGAUGUCGGCUCAUCACAUCCUGGGGCUGAAGUAGGUCCCAAGGGUAUGGCUGUUCGCCAUUUAAAGUGGUACGCGAGCUGGGUUUAGAACGUCGUGAGACAGUUCGGUCCCUAUCUGCCGUGGGCGCUGGAGAACUGAGGGGGGCUGCUCCUAGUACGAGAGGACCGGAGUGGACGCAUCACUGGUGUUCGGGUUGUCAUGCCAAUGGCACUGCCCGGUAGCUAAAUGCGGAAGAGAUAAGUGCUGAAAGCAUCUAAGCACGAAACUUGCCCCGAGAUGAGUUCUCCCUGACCCUUUAAGGGUCCUGAAGGAACGUUGAAGACGACGACGUUGAUAGGCCGGGUGUGUAAGCGCAGCGAUGCGUUGAGCUAACCGGUACUAAUGAACCGUGAGGCUUAACCUUACAACGCCGAAG